rnacentral:rRNA from 1 species
GAUGAACGCUGGCGGCGUGCUUAACACAUGCAAGUCGAACGGAAAGGCCCAAGCUUGCUUGGGUACUCGAGUGGCGAACGGGUGAGUAACACGUGGGUAAUCUGCCCUUCACUUUGGGAUAAGCCCGGGAAACUGGGGCUAAUACCGGAUAGGACCUCAUGCUGGAUGGUGGGGGGGGGAGUGUUUCGGUGGGGGGUGAGCUCGCGGCCUAUCAGCUUGUUGGUGGGGUAAUGGCCUACCAAGGCGUCGACGGGUAGCCGGCCUGAGAGGGUGUACGGCCACAUUGGGACUGAGAUACGGCCCAGACUCCUACGGGAGGCAGCAGUGGGGAAUAUUGCACAAUGGGCGCAAGCCUGAUGCAGCGACGCCGCGUGGGGGAUGACGGCCUUCGGGUUGUAAACUCCUUUCGCUAGGGACGAAGCGCAAGUGACGGUACCUGGAGAAGAAGCACCGGCUAACUACGUG